AAACCAAACAAACCCUCUGAUAGCAAAUUCAAUCACCGCAACUACCGGCCAAUCACAUUUUUUUUGCUAAAUCGAUACGCAAUCGAUUCCUACACGCAAUCUCUGAUCCAAAACAGCGGCACCCUAUACCAUACUCUCCAAUUCAUAACACAAACCGCAAACCAUUUCCUUUCCAUUUCAUAUCACAAAACCGCGAUACCAUCCCACUCCAUCUUCAUUCCUAUAUCACAAAACACCUUCGCACUCCACCCUCUUGCACACCCAACCCCCUUAACCGCGCCUAUUGCUUCACUUCAACCUCACACAACCAGUUCCAUUUCCUCACACCGUGAGCAUUGACCAAGAGUUAGAGAGGGAGGGCUUCACCUCGUGAUCAUCGACGAGAGAGAGAGAGAGUGAACUGCACCUUGCAGCCAAGAGGAAAGAAAGAAAAAUCGCGAGCUGAAUCUUCUCUGGUCUGUCCGUGAGCUUGAGGGAAGAAAGGAGAGAGCAAGUGGAAGUCGUGGGAGCUACUGAUCGUCACCACCUUCAUCAGUCCCAGCUGCAACUAUUGCAACCAGAACCAGCACUUCAAGCCUUGCGCGCGUGCCGAGUGGAAGAAAAAAAUUCAGCUCUGUCGUGUGAGUGAGUUGCACUGUGAGGGUAUAGCGAGGACGUGGAAUUUUGAAUCCCAGCUUGAACUCUGAACUUCACUUUUGGUUCUGGAAACUGAAAGAUGGAUGCUUAUUUAUGUUUUCUUUUUGGGAUUGUAUUUGAACACUAAUACUUAUUCUGUGGGCUGUAAUGUGUUAUUGGGAUAAGGUAUUUUCCUUUUUGGAUUGCCACUUGAAGUUGGAAAAUGUGUAAACCCUAAUUCGAUUAUUUGGCUUGUAAGCUUGUAUUAUGGAUUAUGUAUUUAUCUAUCUGGUUGGGUACGACUUAUACUUCGGUACGUAGCUCGUAGGUUGUUUAAGGGCCUCGACUGGUUAUUUUAUCAUUGCUAUCUCUGAAGUUAAUGUGGCUUUAGGUAUGAUGUUAUUCGGGAAAAAUUUAUUUUGUAAUAGAUUAGUAUUUCUUCGAAAGGUUUUGGGGUUAAAUUGCUCGCGUGAG